CAAUCAAACCCAUCUAAUUUUUUUUUUUUUUCACUUUUUGUAGCAGUGAAGUCUUGAUCGCCUGGCUUCAAGUGAACCUCUGGAGAGACAGGACUAGCUGGAUUUUCUAGGCCAACUAAGAAUCCCUAAGCCUAGCUGGGAAGGUGACUACAUCCACCUUUAAACAUGGGGCUGGCAACUUAGCUCACACCCAACCAAUAAGGUAGUAAAGAGAGCUCACUAAAAUGCUAAUUAGGCAAAAACAGGAGGUAAAGAAAUAGCCAAUCAUCUAUUGCCUGAGAGCACAGAGGAAGGGACAAUGAUCGGGAUAUAAACCCAGGCAUUCAAGCCAGCAAUGGCUACCCUCUUUGGGUCCCCUCCGUUUGUAUGGGAGCUCUGUUUUCAUGCUAUUUUAAAGUCUUGCAACUGCACACUCUUCUGAUCCAUGUUUGUUACAGCUUGAGCUGAGCUUUUGCUCACCAUCCAGCAAUGCUCUUUGCCACCAUCACAGACCCGCCACUGACUUCCAUCCCUCUGGAUCCAGCAGGGUGUCAGCUGUGCUCUUGAUCCAGUGAGGCACCUGUUGCCACUCCCAGUUGGGCUAAAGGCUCACCAUUGUUCCUGCAAGGCUAAGUGCGCGGGUUUGUCUAGUUGAGCUGAACUAGUUGAGCUGGGUUCCACAGUUCUCUUCUGUGACCCAUGACUUCUAAUAGAGCUGUAACACUCACAGCAUGGCCCGAGAUUCCUACUUGGAAUGCAUGAGGCCAAGAACCCCAGGUCAGAGUAGAAGAGGCUCACCACCAUCUUGGAAGUGGCCCCCACCAUCUUGGGAGCUCUAGAAGCAAGUCCCCCUGGCAACCUUUUGGCAACCACAAAGGGACCUCCAAAGCAAAUCGAAGCUGUAAAACUACGAAUCAUUCUUCAGAUGGAGCCACAGAUUCAGUCCAUGACUAAGAUCUACCACAGACCCCUGGACCAGCCUGCUAGCCCAUGCUCCGACAUUGAUGACAUCAAAGGCACCCCUCACAGGGAAAUCUCAACUCCACAACCCCUACUACAAUACAAUUCAGCAGGAAACAAAGUGAUCAUUGGCCAACCUCCCCAACAGCACUUGGGAUUUCCUGUCGAGAAGGGGGACUGAGAAGUAGAACUAACUGGAUUUCCUAGGUCGACUAAGAAUCCCUAAGCCUAGCUGUGAAGGUGACCGCAUCCACCUUUAAACACAGGGCUUGCAACUUAGCUCACACCCAACCAUUCAAGUAGAAAAGAGAGCUCACUAAAAUGAUAAUUAGGUAAAAACAGGAGGUAAAGAAAUAGCCAAUCAUCUAUCACCUAAGAACACAGUGGGAGGGACAAUGAUGGGAUAUGCACCCAGGCAUUGGAGCCAGCAAUGGAUCCCCUCCUUUUGUAUGGGAGCUCUGUAUUCACGCUAUUAUAAAGUCUUACAUCUGCACAUUCUUCUGGUCCAUGUUUGUUAUGGCUCAAGCUGAGCUUUUGCUCUCUGUCCACUCCUGCUCUUUGCUGCCAUUGCAGACCCACCACUGACUUACACCCCUCCAGAUCCAGCAGGGUGUCAGCUGUGCUCCUCAUCCAGUGAGGCACCUAUUGCUGCUCCUGAUUGGACUAAAGGCUUGCCAUUGUUCCUGCAUGGCUAAGUGCCUGGGUUUGUCCUAAUUGAGCUGAACACUAGUCCCUGGGUUCCACAGUUCUCUUCUGUGACCCACGACUUCUAAUAGAGCUAUAACACUCACUGCAUGGCCCAAGAUUCCAUUCCUUGGAAUCCGUGAGGCCAAGAACCCCAGAUCAGAGAAGAAGAGGCUUGCCACCAUCUUGGAAGUGACACAAGAUGCCAUCUGGGGAGCUCUAGGAGCAAGGACCCCUUGGUAGCACUUCCAGCUCAGCCUCCCAAAUCACGCUAUUACAAGCAUGAGCCACUCUUUGUGGCCGCCACCUACUUUUUGAACUCCAAUUGUAUUAAACACCAUAAUAGACACUUUUGUCUGUUAUAUUUCAUGGAUCAUAAACUUUUUUAUGUAUAAUUUUACCUUUUAUUUUAGAUUCGGGUGGUACAAAUGCAGGUGUUUUACAUGGGUAUAUCAUGUGACACCAAGGUUUGGAAUACAGAUGAUCCCAUCACCCAAGUGCUGAGCAUAGAAUCCAACUGUUAGUUUUUCAGCCUUGCCCCCUCCAUCUCUCCACACUCUAAUAUUCCCUAAUAUCUACUGUUCCUAAAUUUAUGUCGAUGUAUAUAUUAUAUUUCUUAGAGUUCCCUGAAUAAUGGUCAGGGAAGGUAAUGUGAAUGAUGCAAAGAUGAUUAUGAAUAAAAUAUUCAGUUUUCUGGAGUGAGCAGGACACUUUUUCAUGCAAAAUUCCAUUUGAAUCCUCCACCUCCAGCCAGCGCGGUGUAGGGAGAGGAAGAGAGACAGACCUAUUAAAAGUUAUAUUUGUUCUCUUGCAGUCUUGUGACUUACUUCUUAAUGAAAACCCUUAUUGUUUUAUAAGAAAAGGAGAAUGAAUGCAGUGUUUGAGAUGGAGUUAUCUAGAAUUUUUAGAAGCAUAAACAGACAUUGAAAAAUUAUAGAAAACAAAGGCAGAAAAGCAGAAAAGACAUAGUAGGUCAGAUGGUAUUUUAGGCAAAUACACCAUAAACUGGCCACCCAGGUCUGCAUCUCUAGGGCUUUCCCAAAGAGGAGCAAAGCAGUUUAUAUUCUAUUAUUAUCACCACCAUCACCUUUAUUUCCCCCCUUACAUGAUGGAUGUCAAUAUCAUGAUCAUUCUCGUUGUCUGUAUAACCGUCAUCAUCAUCAUUAAUACCUCAUAAAUUUUUUCAUGUUAUUUUUAACAUAGUUAGAAAGAAAGAGAUUUUGGGCCUCCCAAAUCACUAAGCUAAAAGGAAAAGUCAAGCUGGAAACUGCUCAGGGCAAACCUGCCUUCCAUUCUAUGCAAAGUCACCGUCUGUUCACUAAGACAGAUGUAUAUUCUGAUUGCUUCUUUUGGAAAGACUUAUCAGAAACUCAAAUGAAUGCAACCAUUUUUCUCUCAGCUACUUGUGACCUGGAAGCCAGUUCCCUGCUUCUGUUGUCCCCAUCUUUCUGGAAGAAGCUAAUAUACUUCUUACAUAUAUUGAUUGAUGUCUCAUAUCUCUCUACAAUGUAUAAAACUAAGCUGUUCCCCUACCAACUUGGGCACAUGUCAUCAGGACUUCCUGAGGUUGUGUCAUGGAUGUACGUCCUAAAUCUUGGCAAAAUAAACUUUCUAAAUUAAACCAGA